rnacentral:rRNA from 1 species
GACGAACGCUGGCGGCGUGCUUAACACAUGCAAGUCGAACGGAAAGGCCCUGCUUUUGUGGGGUGCUCGAGUGGCGAACGGGUGAGUAACACGUGAGUAACCUGCCCUUGACUUUGGGAUAACUUCAGGAAACUGGGGCUAAUACCGGAUAGGAGCUCCUGCUGCAUGGUGGGGGUUGGAAAGUUUCGGCGGUUGGGGAUGGACUCGCGGCUUAUCAGCUUGUUGGUGGGGUAGUGGCUUACCAAGGCUUUGACGGGUAGCCGGCCUGAGCGGGGGACCGGCCACAUUGGGACUGAGAUACGGCCCAGACUCCUACGGGAGGCAGAGGUGGGGAAUAGUGCACAGUGGGCUGAAGCCUGAUGCAGCAACGCCGCGUGCGGUAUGACGGCCUUCGGGUUGUAAACCGCUUUCGCCUGUGACGAAGCGUGAGUGACGGUAAUGGGUAAAGAAGCACCGGCUAACUACGUG